UUUGCCUCCCGCUUCCCACCCUGCCGAAGACUCCACAGUCCCCGACAAGGGAGCCUGUGUUCCCAGGGCCAGAAGUCCACUGUGUGUGGGCAGCUCAAAGGGGCCGGGCUGCCAGCAUUGACCUCGUGAUCUUCAGUGGACCCAGAAGUCCACAAGGCCUGGCCUUGACUGAGAUCACUGGGCUCAAGGCUGGGCCACUGCCACUUAGUCCAGAGAGCCUACAAAUGCAGGGCAGCUCCCAUCCCAGCUCUGCUGCACUUCAGGACAGCACCAACUGCAGCUGAGGAAAUAAGAUGAAGAGUCACUUGAGAGCCAGAGAGGUUAAGAAACUUGCUGUCACUUUCCUGGCCUGAGGAGCUCCACAAACCCCAGUACAGAACUUCAAGCCAGGAACCAUCUCAUGAGAAAAGUCCAUGCCCUUCAACUUCGCUUGAGAAUGCAUUAUAUCUGGAAGCCAUUAGCUUUAUCCCUAAGUUUUUCUGCACAAGCCAUCUUCGCUUGUCUGCCACCAUGUGAAACAUGCCUUUCACCUUCCGCCAUGACUGUGAGGCCUCCUCAGCUACGUGGAACUACUCUAAAGGCAUUAUGGAAAUUCUCACGCUGGAGCAUUGGAACUUCACCCUUGCAGAAGUUUCUGGUAAUCACAUUUACAUACACCGACUGACCAGGGAAGAUAAGGGUGACUAACCUCAGAGUGACCUGCCUGGAGGUCAUCGGAGAAUGAUGAGAGCCUCAGAAAGGUGUUGGCAGGAAUGGAGAGGAGCAAGCAUUUCAAGGGAAGAUUUGGAAGUAAGUGUACAUUACAGGAAGGAGGCAACACAAUGAAAGAAUUGGCUACGAAAUAUCUCCAGACCACUGGCCACGGCCAGCUAUUGAAGGCUAUUCUUCUCAUGAAAGAUACAAGAAGUAGAAAACUUCGUGGGGCAAUUUGAAGACAGCACAUGCAGUUCUACCACGCUGCAAUUCCCUGCUCAUCUGCCUCCAUCCUUGCACCUGCCACAGAUGCUGGCCAACAACUCCCAGGCUAAGGAAAUGGUGCAGGUCAUGAUACCUGAAAUCUCACACCCACUGUUAGCAUGUCUGAGUUGCUCCCGGUAGAGAUUAACUCCUUGAGAAAAGCCUCUUCUGGGCUCCAAAGCAGAGUACAAGCAGUCCUAGGAAAUGGUAACACCUUUUUUUUUUUAAGAAUUUUGGAAAAUUCGGAAUAAGCAAAGAUAAAUGGCUUUUUAUGCUGCAGGAUAUCUUUGAGCCUUAAUUACACUAAUGUGCUAUGAGAGUUAGCUAGACAGAAUUAUAGAACAGCUUUUCCAGAAUUUAUUUGGGAAUCAUACCUACUUACAAGAUGCUGUCCAGAACUCACUUGAGAAAAACUUUCUAAAACAAUGGUAAACUCACUCUUUUUAAGGUCCUGGCUACCGGAGGAUAGGCUCUUGUGAUAACACUAGUCUAGGUCUCAAGAUACCAGACUUCCCCAUUGGAUCUUCCACUGUAUGUGUGCUUUUGGUUAGUUCUUUUCACUUCUUUGGGGUCCAUUUCCUUACCUGCAAACCGAGGAGUUUGGAGAGAUCUGUGAUUUUCUCUGAGACAGAGAAACUGGGGGCUCCACGGCAGGACUCUGUGGGGUCUAUGACAGUGAUGCAACAUCCACAAAUUACAAAAAUGAGAACUUCUAAUCCAUUUACUUCUUUUUACCUGUUUUACAUUGAGGAUUUACCAAAGAUUUCAUUUGAAUAAAAGGGAUUAUUUGAACCAGACUUGGUGGCUCAUGCCUGUAAUCCCAAAAUUUGGGGAGGCCAAAAGCAGGAGAAUCACCUGAGGCCAGGAGUUCAAGACCACAUUAAGAAACAUAGCAAGACCCUGCCUCUACAAAACAUUAAAAAGUUAGUCAGGUGUCAUGGUGAGCACCUGUAGUCCCAGCUAUCCCAGCUACUCAGGAGACUGAGGUGAGAGGAUUGCUUGAGACCAGGAGUUCCACGCUGCAGUGAGCUGUCACAUCACUGCAUUACAGCCUGGGAAACAGUGAGACCCUGCCUCCAAAAACAGUGUAUUUGUGAAAACUGGUUGAACACCUCUAGGAUAUUUAGUCUCUAAGGGCAAUUCCAGGCAUAGAUAGUCAUACAAGUGUAUGAACUAGGAUUCAGAUAAAGCAGACUGGAAUGACAAGAUUUCCCAGGGUGGGCAGUUGCCAGCUGCGUUGCAUGGCUGGGUCACACGAGCUCAGGGGAAUUUUUGGACCAUCCAGGUCACUUAGCUGUUGAGCAUAAUAAAAGAAAGAAUGAUGUGACCACACUGGAAAUGGUUACAGGACACAUUUUGGCAGCACUCGGAGAAAGCAUCAAUGGAGAGCCACCCGUGGAGAGCAGAAAGUCAAUCAGGAGGACCCAGUCCAAACUCCUAGGGAAGGGACGCAGCCAUUUUGGGUUGGUGAUUUGUAGGUACUACCGAAGAAAUGAAGAAACCUGGCUUUGUCAGCUCUUAUGAGAUAAACUCUGUCCUGCUCAAAUUCAUAUGUUCAGUUCUGAACUCCCAUUACCUCAGAAUGUGACUUAUUUGGAGACAUGAUCUU